CCUACGGGUGGCAGCAGUGAGGAAUAUUGGGCAAUGGACGCAACCCUGACCCAGCCAUGCCGCGUGAGUGAAGAAGGCUUUCGGAUUGUAAAGCUCUUUCGGAUGUGACGAUGAUGACGGUAGCAUCUAAAGAAGGCCCGGCUAACUUCGUGCCAGCAGCCGCGGUAAUACGAAGGGGGCAAGCGUUGUUCGGAAUUACUGGGCGUAAAGGGAGUGUAGGCGGUUUAGUAAGAUAGUGGUGAAAUUCCAGGGCUAAACUUUGGAAUUGCCAUUAUAACUAUUAGACUAGAAUUACAGAGAGGAAAGUGGAAUACCCAGUGUAGAGGUGAAAUUCGUAGAUAUUAGGUAGAACACCAGUGGCGAAGGCAGCUUUCUGGCUGUACAUUGACGCUGAGGCUCGAAAGCAUGGGGAUCAAACAGGAUUAGAUACCCCGGUAGUC
rnacentral:rRNA from 1 species